rnacentral:rRNA from 1 species
UUCCGGUUGAUCCUGCCGGAGGUUACUGCUAUCGGUGUUCGCCUAAGCCAUGCGAGUCAUAUGUUCUUCGUGAACAUGGCGUACUGCUCAGUAACACGUGGAUAACCUGCCCUUGGGACCGGCAUAACCCCGGGAAACUGGGGAUAAUUCCGGAUACCGCAUAUAUGCUGGAAUGCUUUAUGCGUGAAAUGGAUUCGUCUGCCCAAGGAUGGGUCUGCGGCCUAUCAGGUAGUAGUGGGUGUAAUGUACCUACUAGCCAACGACGGGUACGGGUUGUGAGAGCAAGAGCCCGGAGAUGGAUUCUGAGACAUGAAUCCAGGCCCUACGGGGCGCAGCAGGCGCGAAAACUUUACAAUGCGGGAAACCGUGAUAAGGGGACACCGAGUGCCAGCAUCAUAUGCUGGCUGUCCAGGUGAGUAAACUACACCUGUUAGCAAGGGCCGGGCAAGACCGGUGCCAGCCGCCGCGGUAACACCGGCGGCCCGAGUGGUGAUCGUGUUUAUUGGGUCUAAAGGGUCCGUAGCCGGUUUGGUCAGUCCUCCGGGAAAUCUGACGGCUUAACCGUUAGGCUUUCGGGGGAUACUGCCAGGCUUGGAACCGGGAGAGGUAAGAGGUACUACAGGGGUAGGAGUGAAAUCUUGUAAUCCCUGUGGGACCACCUGUGGCGAAGGCGUCUUACCAGAACGGGUUCGACGGUGAGGGACGAAAGCUGGGGGCACGAACCGGAUUAGAUACCCGGGUAGUCCCAGCCGUAAACGAUGCUCGCUAGGUGUCAGGCAUGGCGCGACCGUGUCUGGUGCCGCAGGGAAGCCGUGAAGCGAGCCACCUGGGAAGUACGGCCGCAAGGCUGAAACUUAAAGGAAUUGGCGGGGGAGCACAACAACGGGUGGAGCCUGCGGUUUAAUUGGAUUCAACGCCGGG